rnacentral:rRNA from 1 species
AGGAAUAUUGGUCAAUGGACGCAAGUCUGAACCAGCCAUGCCGCGUGCAGGAAGACGGCUCUAUGAGUUGUAAACUGCUUUUGUACGAGGGUAAACGCAGAUACGCGUAUCUGUCUGAAAGUAUCGUACGAAUAAGGAUCGGCUAACUCCGUGCCAGCAGCCGCGGUAAUACGGAGGAUUCAAGCGUUAUCCGGAUUUAUUGGGUUUAAAGGGUGCGUAGGCGGUUUGAUAAGUUGGAGGUGAAAUGUUAGGGCUUAACCCUGAAACUGCCUCCAAUACUGUUGGACUAGAGAGUAGUUGCGGUAGGCGGAAUGUAUGGUGUAGCGGUGAAAUGCUUAGAGAUCAUACAGAACACCGAUUGCGAAGGCAGCUUACCAAACUAUAUCUGACGUUGAGGCACGAAAGCGUGGGGAGCAAAC